GUAGCCAUGGCGCUGGAGCAGUAGCUGAGAGCUAACAUCUGGAUCUGCAAGGAGACAGAGAGACAAUGGGAAAGGCAUGACUCUCUUGAAACCAACGCCUACACCCUACACACACCUCCUCCGAGGCUACGUUUCCUAAUCCUUCCCAAACAACUUCACCAGCUGGGAACCAACCAUUCAAGUCUGUGGAGGCCAUCCUCAUUCAACCCACCACAUAUCAGAUUUGGGACUGAAGUGUCUCUCCUGGAAAUGUUGGCUAUACCUCUCAGUGCUGUGACACUGCAUCACUGCACAUGCUUGCUGAUGAUGGUUUGUGACACUGCAUCACUGCACAUGCUCACUGAUGAUGGUCUGUGACACUGCAUAGCACAGUACUGGAAAAGCACAAACAAAUGAAGAAGGAUCCACCACAGGCAGGAGAGACCCCUGGACAAAACUGGCAACAUGACACCAGAGACAAUGACAGCGCAGAUGAUGGUUUGCCAUAAUCAUGGGAUCUUGAAGGCUGUUCUUCUCGUGAUACUGAGGAAGACUUUGGAGGAAUGGGCCAAAGGACUGUACUAUGACAAUGUCCAACCUGAGCUUAACCCUGCCUCACUGCUGAUGAUACUCUAGAUGUUUGUAAUUCUUUGAGCUUGUCAAUGUUCUCUGCU
rnacentral:lncRNA from 1 species